rnacentral:rRNA from 1 species
AUGGCGUCGGCUGUAUCGUCGUGUACAUUUGUAUUUCUCGAAGAAGGAAAAUUGGCAUAUACACGUGCCUUGAGCUCGCACUCGGACAGAGGCCGUCGACGAGCAGGAAAAGAAAAGGUAAAUGGAAGUAACCGCCGGCCGGCCGCUCUAUACUUUGGGCGCGGAUGGAGUUGGCGUGGUUGGAGGUUUCAGGUCUUCUACCUGGCGUAUGGUGAAAGCGGGCGCCCUGGAUCACCAGUGGCGGGGGCGGUGGGAGGAGCACCGUUGGGGUUGGAAUCCAACAGCGGCGACGACGACUCGGCUGCAGCCUCGGCGGUCGUGCUAGUCGCUGCAUCCGGAGAGGCGGCAGUGGGCGGCGGCGAUGGAGAAUCACCGGCAUCCUGUUUCUUGCUGCUGCUCCUGCUGGGUGUCGGGGAAGACGGUGGCUUCAGCCCCUCGUACCUGCGACGCCGUCAGGAAAUUAAUGGAUCCAUCAGAGGCCGAAUUCUUCACUCGGAUGCCAAGGAUGUAACAUCAGUUGGUUCACUUACGCCGCGUAGGGUGAGAGCGGCCGCGGCUUUGCAGCAGCAGCGGGAGCGGCCGGAGGAGGUGGAGGAGGAGCCGGAGCAGCUGGUGCUGGUGCCGGUACAGGUGCAGGGGGCGACUCCUUCAGCGCCUGACCGGUGGUGCCGCUGCUAA